GUGCUCGCUUCGGUAGCACAUUACUAAAAUUGGAAUGAUACAGAGAUUAGCAUGGCCUCUGCUUAAGAAUGACAUGCAAGGCUGGAGAGAUGGCUUAGCGGUUC
ensembl:snRNA U6 U6 spliceosomal RNA